rnacentral:rRNA from 1 species
UGUAGUCUCAACGAUGAUGCAUACAUGUCCACUAUGGAUGUUGAGUCCAAUAAUUCGCAUUGGUCUCAAACCAAUGACACCCAUUUCGAAGACCAUGAGUUUGAGGUGGACAAGGAGUGUGAGGGAAUUGUCGAGGCGCCGAAAGGAAGAGCGGGCAAUUACUCAACCAACGAUGACAAGUUACUAUGCCAUACUUAUUUGCAAGUGUCGAGGGAUCCAUCCAUUGGAGGUGAUCAAAGUAGAGACACGUAUUGGGGGCAAAUGAAAUAA